GCCGGGCUGGCACGCUCCUGCUCCCGGCAGCGCGCGGGGCUCGGUGCAGGACGCGCGCCGGGGAUGCUUGCACGAGGGAUGCUCGCGCCGGGGGCACCGGCGGCUCCGCUGCGGGCGCCUCUGACAAAGGCCCACGAGCCCUGGGCUGUUGCGCCACCGCCACGCGCCCGUCUGCGCUGGCCCCGCCGGCUGUUGCCCCACGUCCGGCUCGGCAUGACGCGGCCGGGACCACGCUGCAUGCCGGCAAAGAGCUGUGAGCGCGCUUGCCCCGUGCCGGCAGCGAGUCCCCAUCCUUCGCCGGGGCUCCUCUGCGCGCCCGGCCAUCCUGCGGCAUCGCCGGCUCCUCAGCCCGGCUGCAAGUCAGUGCUGGCUUCAAGCCCGGCGGCCUCGCCGGCUCCUCCGCCUCYGCAAAGCGCUAGCACCUUCUUCACGCGUGGUUUUCUUGUGCGCUGGGGGAGAAGCAGAGGAAGCCGGUGCGAGGCAGCUUGGCUGGGUGCUGCAMAGCAAAGGGCAAGAGGAGGCUGCUCCGCUCCUCCCACGCUUAAACCCGGCGAGGCCGAAGCAGGGCGAGAUUGCUCCUGGCUGAGCACGUGGCCCUGCAUCACUCCCAGCUGAGUGCGCGGCCCCGGCGAUGCUGACGUGGAUCAACAAACUUUGCUCCCAGCUCUCGUGCUGGUAGGAGAGGACCAGGGCGGCCGAAGCCUCGAGCAGCCCGACCGCGGCGCGGCGCCGGAGGGGGCCCCCAACUCCACCGCCGGGGAAGGGGGCGAGCCGGCGGCGUGGACGUCGGUCCCCGCGUGGGACGGUGCCACCAGCCCCUCCGCCCUGCCGCCGCGGGCCGCGGGGAACAGGAGCCGUGAGUACCCCAAUGCCGCCGGCGCGCCCCGAGCGGCCGCUCCGGGCCCCCUCGGCUCGGGGGUGUUUGCACCACCGACACCUCCCGUCUCUUCCAGAAAGCGCCUCGGCCGUUCCCGUGCGGUACUGGUCCCCCGUCAUCUUUGUGGCCGUUGCUCUGCUCGUGCUGUUCCUGACCUACAAGAGGACCAAGGGGGAAGAAAGCGGCAACCAAGUGGCCUCGGCCAGUGACUCCUCAGAUUUGGAAGAAGCAGCCGACGUCCCCGUCCACGACACGGCCCCAAUCGUCCCUCCUGCCGCGGUGAGUCCGGCCGACGGGGGGGCCGCAGCCGAAAUCCUGCCGCCUCCUCUGCCCCUGUGCGGUGGGGACGCGCGUCGGGGCUGYGCCGCGUCUCCUAAACUGCUGCCGUCCGCUGCAGGAGGAGCRGAAGGGGCCGGAGAAACCCCCACCCCGGGAUCCGACCGAAACCGUCUUCUGCGAGCCGGACGCCCCCCCGCUGCAGCCGUCCCAGGUAUUUCGACCCUCCUCGGCCGCGUCAGCCCCACGGCGUGGUUUUGGGCAAAAYGCGGGACCAAAGGGCUGUGCCGGGGGUGUCUGCACGCAGCGGUGCCCUGCGGCAUCCCGCUCCCCGUCGCGGGGCAGGGCUGACCUUGCUCCCCUCGCACCCGAGCAGCCCGUUGCCCCCGCGGCCACCAGCAGCCCCCAGCCCUGACCGAMGGCUCCCAGCACGGCCGAAGCCCCCGGAGAAAGCGGCAGCUCUGAAACGCCCCGCGGGGCGACGGGCUGCGUGACGAGGAUGCUCCCGGCCCCGCAGCCUCCUCGGCCCUUUGCAACCCCUGGCAGGAUACGACCCAGCGCGUGACACGGCCCUGCACGACGUGACCGCACGUGGCACGGCCGUGCGCGUGCAUUUACUACCGUGCACGCAAGGACGGGGGCCUGGGGCGCGCGUGACGUGCGCCGUCAAGCCAAUAAAGCAGCGUUUCACCCCA
rnacentral:lncRNA from 1 species